rnacentral:rRNA from 1 species
UACGUAGGUGGCAAGCGUUGUCCGGAUUUAUUGGGUUUAAAGGGUGCGUAGGCGGCUUUGUAAGUCAGUGGUGAAAUAUGGCAGCUCAACUGUCAGGGUGCCAUUGAUACUGCGGAGCUUGAGUACAGAUGAGGUAGGCGGAAUUGACGGUGUAGCGGUGAAAUGCUUAGAUAUCGUCAAGGACACCGAUAGCGAAGGCAGCUUACUAGGCUGUAACUGACGCUGAGGCACGAAAGUGUGGGGAUCAAACAGG